UACGUAGGGGGCAAGCGUUGUCCGGAUUCAUUGGGCGUAAAGAGCGUGUAGGCGGCCAGGUAGGUCGGUUGUGAAAACUGGAGGCUCAACCUUCAGAGGUCGACCGAAACCAUCUGGCUAGAGUCCGGGAGAGGAGAGUGGAAUUCCUGGUGUAGCGGUGAAAUGCGCAGAUAUCAGGAAGAACACCCGUGGCGAAAGCGGCUCUCUGGAACGGUACUGACGCUGAGACGCGAAAGCGUGGGUAGCAAACAGG
rnacentral:rRNA from 1 species